GUACACUCCUACGGGAGGCAGCAGUGGGGAAUAUUGGACAAUGGGCGCAAGCCUGAUCCAGCCAUGCCGCGUGAGUGAUGAAGGCCCUAGGGUUGUAAAGCUCUUUCACCGGUGAAGAUAAUGACGGUAACCGGAGAAGAAGCCCCGGCUAACUUCGUGCCAGCAGCCGCGGUAAUACGAAGGGGGCUAGCGUUGUUCGGAUUUACUGGGCGUAAAGCGCACGUAGGCGGACUAUUAAGUCAGGGGUGAAAUCCCGGGGCUCAACCCCGGAACUGCCUUUGAUACUGGUAGUCUUGAGUUCGAGAGAGGUGAGUGGAAUUCCGAGUGUAGAGGUGAAAUUCGUAGAUAUUCGGAGGAACACCAGUGGCGAAGGCGGCUCACUGGCUCGAUACUGACGCUGAGGUGCGAAAGCGUGGGGAGCAAACAGGAUUAGAAACCCGAGUAGUCCAUG
rnacentral:rRNA from 1 species